AGGCGGAGUCGGGGGAAGCUCUGAUGGAGGCUGGCAGCGAUGCUGGCGUGC
rnacentral:rRNA from 13 species